rnacentral:rRNA from 1 species
GACGAACGCUGGCGGCGUGCUUAACACAUGCAAGUCGAACGGAAAGGCCCUGCUUUUGUGGGGUGCUCGAGUGGCGAACGGGUGAGUAACACGUGAGUAACCUGCCCUUGACUUUGGGAUAACUUCAGGAAACUGGGGCUAAUACCGGAUAGGAGCUCCUGCUGCAUGGUGGGGGUUGGAAAGUUUCGGCGGUUGGGGAUGGACUCGCGGCUUAUCAGCUUGUUGGUGGGGUAGUGGCUUACCAAGGCUUUGACGGGUAGCCGGCCUGAGAGGGUGACCGGCCACAUUGGGACUGAGAUACGGCCCAGACUCCUACGGGAGGCAGCAGUGGGGAAUAUUGCACAAUGGGCGGAAGCCUGAUGCAGCAACGUCGCGUGCGGGAUGACGGCCUUCGGGUUGUAAACCGCUUUCGCCUGUGACGAAGCGUGAGUGACGGUAAUGGGUAAAGAAGCACCGGCUAACUACGUG